rnacentral:rRNA from 1 species
GUGCCAGCAGUCGCGGUAAUACGGAGGGUGCAAGCGUUGUCCGGAAUCACUGGGUGUAAAGGGUGUGCAGGCGGAGCGGUCAGUCAGAGGUGAAAGCCCCCAGCUCAACUGGGGAGGUGCCUUUGAUACUGCCGUUCUUGAAUCCCGGAGGGGCUGUCAGAAUUCGUGGUGUAGCGGUGAAAUGCGUAGAUAUCACGAGGAAUACCAGUGGCGUAGGCGGACAGCUGGACGGGGAUUGACGCUGAGGCACGAAAGCGUGGGGAGCAAACAGGAUUAGAAACCCGAGUAGUCC